CUGACUCAUCGCCAUUAAAUAGUUAACUAACACUGUUUCGAUAUAUGCUGAUUUCGGCUGAUAUCAUAUAGUUUAGGUUGGGAAUUUAAUUUUUUUUGUGAGUUUAGGUUGUUAUUUGCCAGGUAUCGUAUUUUAAGUAUAAAAAUACCGCCAACAAAUAGUUUGGGUUGAUUUUCGCUAUUUUCCCUAGUAAGUUAUCAUGUAAGGAAAUAACAUGAAUUGUAAUAUAUAGAGGCCAU
rnacentral:lncRNA from 1 species